rnacentral:rRNA from 1 species
AUGUUUUUUGAGGCAUGUGCAUUUGGCACAGACCGCUCUAUAGUCAAUCCAGAGCUGAACCCUAUUGGCAAAAAGAUAAUCCCACAGCUCAAGAGAUGCCCAUUAGCUGCUGAAACUCUUGGGCGCAUACUGAAGCCUAUGCUGGAUAGGGAGCACUGGGAUUGGGUCGCAGGAAGAGAGCUGUGGGAGCUGAAACAAGAGAAGUACGACAUUCUGCCGGUCCUUCGAUUGAGCUAUCUGUAUCUGCCUCCCCAUCUGAGAAGCUGCUUUCUGUUUUGCUCCAUGUAUCCAAAGGGUCACCGAUUUGUCAAAGAUGCUCUUGUGAACAGUUGGAUAGCAGCUGGUUUAAUCGAGUCCUGCAAGGGCGGCAAGCUGGAAAGCGAUGGUCAUCGAUAUUUCGCGGAAUUCCUACAUCGAUCCCUAUUGCAUAGAGAUGCAAGCAGCCCAGCAUCCUCCGUGUAUGUCAUCCAUGAGUUGAUGCAUGACAUGGCGAAGCUAGUUUCUGAGAACGAGUGCUUCGUCGUGAAAGGCGAAGCAGAUUUGCAAAAGAUCCCUGAAGAUGUUCGGCAUCUGUCAAUAAUCGGCGGUGGUGGCCUCGAUGAAACCAACUUGAAAAUGCUGUGCCAGUACAAGAAGCUGCGUUCCAUUGUAUGCCAUGGUGUUGACUCUGAGAUCAUUACUCCUGCAGCUAAGCACUGGUUUGAGGUGCUCACCAAAAUACGGAUGCUGGGUUUUCUGUCUUGCAAGUUGGACUAUCUUCCUGAGACCAUUGGAAAUCUAAAGCUUCUCCAGUACCUUAGCAUUGGUGAAUGUACUUUCGAAGAGCUUCCUCCGUGUUUUUGGCAACUCCAGAGUUUACGAAUUAUAGAUGCUCAGAAAUGUCGUAUCCAACACAUUCCCCAAGAAUUCAAUCAGCUACAGGGCAAAUUGCAGAGAUUUAAGUUGAGGGGUACAAAUAUCACUGAACCUGGAAAUUAUGCGCUUUGA